GCUGCCGGGAGGACACGGCUUCUUGGGCGGUGGUGGCGCCUUGGGCGUCGGUGGCUUCGGCUUGGUCGGGGCAGGCGGGCUAGGCUUUGGUGGCUUCGGCUUCGUCGGGGCAGGCGGCUUUGGCGCUGGCGGCCUCGGCGGUGGCUUCGGCAUCGUCGGGGCAGGCGGCUUCGGGCCAGGACCAGGCGCUGGCGGGCCGUGGUGGAAGCAUUUCUCGCAGCAGCUCUUCAGGCACAUCGUUUUCUCGUUGCUAA
rnacentral:lncRNA from 1 species